GGGGAAUUUUGGACAAUGGGGGCAACCCUGAUCCAGCCAUUCCGCGUGAGUGAAGAAGGCCUUCGGGUUGUAAAGCUCUUUCGGCAGGAACGAAACGGUGGCCCCUAAUACGGGCUACUAAUGACGGUACCUGAAGAAGAAGCACCGGCUAACUACGUGCCAGCAGCCGCGGUAAUACGUAGGGUGAGAGCGUUAAUCGGAAUUACUGGGCGUAAAGCGUGCGCAGGCGGUUCUAUAAGACAGAUGUGAAAUCCCCGGGCUUAACCUGGGAACUGCGUUUGUGACUGUAGGACUCGAGUGUGGCAGAGGGGGGUGGAAUUCCACGUGUAGCAGUGAAAUGCGUAGAGAUGUGGAGGAACACCGAUGGCGAAGGCAGCCCCCUGGGUCAACACUGACGCUCAUGCACGAAAGCGUGGGGAGCAAAC
rnacentral:rRNA from 1 species